rnacentral:rRNA from 1 species
UUAAUGAGAGUUUGAUCCUGGCUCAGGACGAACGCUGGCGGCGUGCCUAAUACAUGCAAGUAGAACGCUGAUGUUUGGUGUUUACACUAGACUGAUGAGUUGCGAACGGGUGAGUAACGCGUAGGUAACCUGCCUCAUAGCGGGGGAUAACUAUUGGAAACGAUAGCUAAUACCGCAUAAGAGUAAUUAACACAUGUUAGUUAUUUAAAAGGAGCAAUUGCUUCACUGUGAGAUGGACCUGCGUUGUAUUAGCUAGUUGGUGAGGUAAAGGCUCACCAAGGCGACGAUACAUAGCCGACCUGAGAGGGUGAUCGGCCACACUGGGACUGAGACACGGCCCAGACUCCUACGGGAGGCAGCAGUAGGGAAUCUUCGGCAAUGGACGGAAGUCUGACCGAGCAACGCCGCGUGAGUGAAGAAGGUUUUCGGAUCGUAAAGCUCUGUUGUUAGAGAAGAACGUUGGUAGGAGUGGAAAAUCUACCAAGUGACGGUAACUAACCAGAAAGGGACGGCUAACUACGUGCCAGCAGCC